CACUCCUACGGGAGGCAGCAGUGGGGAAUUUUGGACAAUGGGCGAAAGCCUGAUCCAGCAAUGCCGCGUGAGUGAAGAAGGCCUUCGGGUUGUAAAGCUCUUUUGUCAGGGAAGAAACGGUGAAAGCUAAUAUCUUUUGCUAAUGACGGUACCUGAAGAAUAAGCACCGGCUAACUACGUGCCAGCAGCCGCGGUAAUACGUAGGGUGCAAGCGUUAAUCGGAAUUACUGGGCGUAAAGCGUGCGCAGGCGGUUUUGUAAGUCUGAUGUGAAAUCCCCGGGCUCAACCUGGGAAUUGCAUUGGAGACUGCAAGGCUAGAAUCUGGCAGAGGGGGGUAGAAUUCCACGUGUAGCAGUGAAAUGCGUAGAUAUGUGGAGGAACACCGAUGGCGAAGGCAGCCCCCUGGGUUAAGAUUGACGCUCAUGCACGAAAGCGUGGGGAGCAAACAGGAUUAGAAACCCGUGUAGUCCCAUGA
rnacentral:rRNA from 1 species